UACGUAGGGGGCGAGCGUUGUCCGGAGUUACUGGGCGUAAAGGGCGUGCAGGCGGUUUUCUAAGGUCGGAGUGACAGUUUCCGGCUCAACUGGGGAAGGCCUACCGAAAACUGGAGAACUUGAGGGCCAGAGAGGGACAUAGAAUUCCGGGUGGAGUGGUGAAAUGCGUAGAUAUCCGGAGGAAUACCAAAGGCGAAGGCAGUGUCCUGGCUGGCAUCUGACGCUGAGGCGCGAAAGCUAGGGGAGCGAACAGG
rnacentral:rRNA from 1 species